rnacentral:rRNA from 1 species
CGCGUAGGCGGUUUGGCAAGUUGGAUGUGAAAGCCCUGGGCUCAACCCGGGAAUUGCAUUCAAGACUGCUUUACUCGAAUUCGGUAGAGGUUGGUGGAAUUCCCAGUGUAGAGGUGAAAUUCGUAGAGAUUGGGAAGAACACCCGUGGCGAAGGCGGCCAACUGGACCGACAUUGACGCUGAGGCGCGAAAGCGUGGGUAGCAAACAGGAUUAGAUACCCUGGUAGUCCACGCCGUAAACGAUGCAUGCUAGACGUUAAGACCAUCAUGGUCUUAGUGUCGCAGCUAACGCACUAAGCAUGCCGCCUGGGGAGUACGGCCGCAAGGUUGAA